rnacentral:rRNA from 1 species
GGAAGUAAAAGUCGUAACAAGGUUUCCGUAGGUGAACCUGCGGAAGGAUCAUUACCGAGUGUAGGGUUCCUAGCGAGCCCAACCUCCCACCCGUGUUUACUGUACCUUAGUUGCUUCGGCGGGCCCGCCAUUCAUGGCCGCCGGGGGCUCUCAGCCCCGGGCCCGCGCCCGCCGGAGACACCACGAACUCUGUCUGAUCUAGUGAAGUCUGAGUUGAUUGUAUCGCAAUCAGUUAAAACUUUCAACAAUGGAUCUCUUGGUUCCGGCAUCGAUGAAGAACGCAGCGAAAUGCGAUAACUAGUGUGAAUUGCAGAAUUCCGUGAAUCAUCGAGUCUUUGAACGCACAUUGCGCCCCCUGGUAUUCCGGGGGGCAUGCCUGUCCGAGCGUCAUUGCUGCCCAUCAAGCACGGCUUGUGUGUUGGGUCGUCGUCCCCUCUCCGGGGGGGACGGGCCCCAAAGGCAGGGCGGCACCGCGCCCGAUCCUCGAGCGUAUGGGGCCUUGUCACCCGCUCUGUAGGCCCGGCCGGCGCUUGCCGAACGCAAAUCAAUCUUUUUCCAGGUUGACCUCGGAUCAGGUAGGGAUACCCGCUGAACUUAAGCAUAUCAAUAAGCGGAGGA